rnacentral:lncRNA from 1 species
AGUGUACAUAUGAGGUGUGCAACAAAAGGUGAGGUGUCGUUUAGAAAUGAGUUGAAGUGGGUUUUAAAGCCUAACUCAACUCCACAAAACCGGCUUAUAAAUUGGCCUUAUCUCUAAUCGGAUGUAGGACUUCUAACAUACCCCCUCCAAGCCGAGAUAUAGACAUCUCGUGUCGAGGUAUAAAUGCCCAAGAAACAAUAAAUAUCCCUAGGAUAGAUUUUAACCAUGACUCUGAUAUCAUAAAUGGACUUUAAAACCUAACUCAACC